UGGGUGACCUGCCUCUAGGUGGGGGAUAACCCGGGGAAACUCGGGCUAAUACCGCAUAACAUCGUGAGAUCAAAGAGGGGCGCAAGCCUCUCGCCGAGAGAGGGGCCCGCGUCUGAUUAGCUAGUUGGUGAGGUAACGGCUCACCAAGGCGACGAUCAGUAGCCGGCCUGAGAGGGCGACCGGCCACACUGGGACUGAGACACGGCCCAGACUCCGUACGGGAGCAG
rnacentral:rRNA from 1 species